rnacentral:rRNA from 1 species
UACGAAGGGGGCUAGCGUUGCUCGGAAUCACUGGGCGUAAAGGGUGCGUAGGCGGGUCUUUAAGUCAGGGGUGAAAUCCCGGAGCUCGACUCCGGAACGGCAUUUGAGACUGCAAAUCUUGAGGGUAGGCGGAGAAAAUGGAAUUCCACGUGUAGCGGUGAAAUGCGUAGAUAUGUGGAAGAACACCUGUGGCGAAAGCGGUUUUCUAGCUUAUUCCUGACGCUGAGGCGCGAAAGCAAGGGGAUCAAACAGG